AGCUGCUUCCUUGAGGCUGACGCCGAGUGGAGCUGAAACGUUGCUUGAAAAUUAAGCAGGCACGCAGGCAACACCCAUAUCAUGUUUACCUUGGAUGGGCUAACACAGCGAACGCCAGCUUUGGGCCUUCUUCUUGCUCUCGUAAUUUUACAAGGAGGACUGUGCCUAAGAAAGUUCAGUACUAGACCAUCGGAGGGAAGCGACAGCUCGAAAUCGGCCAGCUGCUAUGAAACUACCGGGGCCGCUAUCACAGGAAGAGUAAUGUCGGUAGUUUGUAAUCCUUUGACCAGUUGUCAAGGUGGAAGAGACGCAAGUCCACUCAGACAACUGUACCGAAAUGUUCCGUUGGCAUGUCCCAGAAGAAUGGUGCAGUCCCGUCGUGCUUCUGUAUAAUGUAACUGUGCCCAUGAUUAGAAAUCCGAAGGCACGAAGAACCGUUGACGUGGAGCUAAAUUUAACCGUAGGAGGAUGGCAAGAAGUAUGGGUGCGGUGGGCCGAGCACGUCCUAAAUGAGGAAAAUAUGAGAUACGUGAAAAAGACAUGCAAUUACACUGCUACGAUUUUGUUCAGUGUUGCCAAAAAUGACUCAAGAAAAGCCGAAGAAUUGAAGAAAUUGCAGCAGAUGUGUCAUCGCCAGGACCCAUCGGCGAGCGGCGGAAAUCGUAUCAUCUGUUUGAUUCAGGGAAAAUACGAGCAAAAUGUGUGUCGCUUGCGACGAGAUGAACAAAGUGAAUGAUUAAUACGACCUGCUCUUCCUUUGAUACCAAAAA